UACAGAGGUCUCAAGCGUUGUUCGGAUUCAUUGGGCGUAAAGGGUGCGUAGGCGGCGCGGUAAGUCAGGUGUGAAAUCUCGGGGCUUAACUCCGAAACUGCAUUCGAUACUGCCGUGCUUGAGGACUGGAGAGGAGACUGGAAUUUACGGUGUAGCGGUGAAAUGCGUAGAUAUCGUAAGGAAGACCAGUGGCGAAGGCGGGUCUCUGGGCCGAUACUGACGCUGAGGAGCGAAAGCGUGGGGAGCGAACAGG
rnacentral:rRNA from 1 species